GACGGAGGGUGCAAGCGUUGUUCGGAAUUACUGGGCGUAAAGGGCGCGUAGGCGGUCUGUUAAGUUCGGUGUGAAAGCCCCCGGCUCACCUGGGGAACUGCGCCGGAAACCGACAGACUCGAGUACCGGAGAGGAGGGUGGAAUUCCUGGUGUAGCGGUGAAAUGCGUAGAUAUCAGGAGGAACACCGGUGGCGAAGGCGGCCCUCUGGACGGAUACUGACGCUGAGGCGCGAAAGCCAGGGGAGCAAACGGG
rnacentral:rRNA from 1 species